AAGCUCGUAGUUGAAUUUCGGGAUCAAUGGAUUGGUCAUGCCGAUGGUAUGUACUGGUCAUAUUGGUUCUCACCUUCUAAGGAACCAUAAUGUCAUUUAUUUGAUGUUGUGGGGAAUUAGGACUGUUACCUUGAAAAAAUUAGAGUGUUUAAAGCAGGCUAACGCUUGAAUACAUUAGCAUGGAAUAAUGAAAUAGGACAUCGCAUUCUAUUUUGUUGGUUUCUAGGAUCGAUGUAAUGAUCAAUAGGGAUAGUUGGGGGCAUUAGUAUUCAAUUGUCAGAGGUGAAAUUCUUGGAUUUAUUGAAGACUAACUACUGCGAAAGCAUUUGCCAAGGAUGUUUUCAUUAAUCAAGAACGAAAGUUAGGGGAUCGAAGACGAUCAGAUACCGUCGUAGUCUUAACCAUAAACUAUGCCGACUAGGGAUCGGAUGAUGUUGAUUUUUUGAUGACUCAUUCGGCACCUUACGGGAAACCAAAGUGUUUGGGUUCCGGGGGGAGUAUGGUCGCAAGGCUGAAACUUAAAGGAAUUGACGGAAGGGCACCACCAGGGGUGGAGCCUGCGGCUUAAUUUGACUCAACACGGGGAAA
rnacentral:rRNA from 1 species